GGCCGGGGCGGCACCGGCGGGGCGGCGGCACCGGCGCUGGGCCAAGUUUGGCCCAGCCGAGCCGCGCAGGACGCGGCUGGCUCCCGUCCAGGUGGGACCCUGCCAGCGCUGAUGGAUGCCCGAGGUGCUGCUGUGCCACCCUGCUCCUGGCUAACCAGCACCAGUUCUUCAGUGGCAAGCUUUAUGUCCUUCUCCAGUAGCUAAAGCUGCCAGUUGAAGAACUGUUGAAUGUAGCCACUCUCUUCUCAUCACUGGGACACUGGAUGCCAGCCAGAGCCCUGAGCGACCAGGAUGAGCCACUCUGCAGUGUCCUGUGGUUGGAAGGCUGAGGAUGAGUUCAACCAGGAUGAAGAAAGUCUCCUCGAAGCUUCCAGACAGAGCCUUGGCUGGAGGAUUGCCAAGCAGCCGUACCAGCAGGGCUGUCAAACUGUGUCCCUCCCUCAGUGGGGUGGCACUGAGCUGGGAGGUGACUAAAGGAGACUGAGAGAAGCAUUAAACGUUGUUUUGCUCAA